CAGUCGCCGCGGGAAUACGGAGGGUGCAAGCGUUAAUCGGAAUUACUGGGCGUAAAGCGUGCGUAGGCGGGACGGCACGUCGACUGCUGAAAUCCCUCGGCUUAACCGAGGAAGUGGCAUCGAUACGACCGUCCUGGAGGAACGUAGGGGGACCUGGAACUUCCGGUGGAGCGGUGAAAUGCGUUGAGAUCGGAAAGAACACCAACGGCGAAAGCACUCUGCUGGGCCGACACUGACACUGAGAGACGAAAGCUAGGGGAGCAAAUGGGAUUAGAUACCCCGGUAGUCCCUGUCUCUUAUA
rnacentral:rRNA from 1 species